rnacentral:lncRNA from 1 species
CGAUGAACCUUUCGACAUAACCCGAUAAAUCCUCCCGGCAUAACCCGAUGAAUCUUUCGGCAUAACCCGAUAAAUCUUCUCGGCAUAACCCGAUAAAUCUUCCCGGCAUGUUACGAUGAAUUUUCCGGCAUGAUCCGAUGAAUCCUCCCGGCAUAACCUGAUGAACCUUUCCGCAUAACCCGAUAAAUCCUCCCAGCAUAACCCGAUGAACUUCCGGCAUAACCCGAUAAAUCUUCUCGGCAUAACCCGAUAAAUCUUCCCGGCAUGUUACGAUGAAUUUUCCGGCAUGAUCCGAUGAAUCCUCCCGGCAUAACCCGAUGAAUCUUUCGGCAUAACCCGAUAAAUCUUCUCGGCAUAACCCGAUAAAUCUUCCCGGCAUGUUACGAUGAAUUUUCCGGCAUGACGGCAUAACCCGAUGAAUCUUUCGGAAUAACCCGAUAAAUCUUCUCGGCAUAACCCGAUAAAUCUUCCCGGCAUGUUACGAUGAAUUUUCCGGCAUGAUCCGAUGAAUCCUCCCUGCAUAACCCGAUGAAUCUUUCGGAAUAAUCCGAUAAACCCUCCGGCAUAACC